rnacentral:rRNA from 1 species
AUUAACUGAAUCCAUAGGUUAAUGAGGCGAACCGGGGGAACUGAAACAUCUAAGUACCCCGAGGAAAAGAAAUCAACCGAGAUUCCCCCAGUAGCGGCGAGCGAACGGGGAGGAGCCCAGAGCCUGAAUCAGCAUGUGUGUUAGUGGAAGCGUCUGGAAAGGCGCGCGAUACAGGGUGACAGCCCCGUACACAAAAGCGCAUGUGCUGUGAGCUCGAUGAGUAGGGCGGGACACGUGGUAUCCUGUCUGAAUAUGGGGGGACCAUCCUCCAAGGCUAAAUACUCCUGACUGACCGAUAGUGAACCAGUACCGUGAGGGAAAGGCGAAAAGAACCCCGGCGAGGGGAGUGAAAAAGAACCUGAAACCGUGUACGUACAAGCAGUGGGAGCACAGGUUUACCUGUGUGACUGCGUACCUUUUGUAUAAUGGGUCAGCGACUUAUAUUCUGUAGCAAGGUUAACCGAAUAGGGGAGCCGGAGGGAAACCGAGUCUUAAUUGGGCGUUAAGUUGCAGGGUAUAGACCCGAAACCCGGUGAUCUAGCCAUGGGCAGGUUGAAGGUUGGGUAACACUAACUGGAGGACCGAACCGACUAAUGUUGAAAAAUUAGCGGAUGACCUGUGGCUGGGGGUGAAAGGCCAAUCAAACCGGGAGAUAGCUGGUUCUCCCCGAAAGCUAUUUAGGUAGCGCCUCGUGAAUUCAUCUCCGGGGGUAGAGCACUGUUUCGGCUAGGGGGCCAUCCCGGCUUACCAACCCGAUGCAAACUGCGAAUACCGGAGAAUGUUAUCACGGGAGACACACGGCGGGUGCUAACGUCCGUCGUGAAGAGGGAAACAACCCAGACCGCCAGCUAAGGUCCCAAAGUCAUGGUUAAGUGGGAAACGAUGUGGGAAGGCCCAGACAGCCAGGAUGUUGGCUUAGAAGCAGCCAUCAUUUAAAGAAAGCGUAAUAGCUCACUGGUCGAGUCGGCCUGCGCGGAAGAUGUAACGGGGCUAAACCAUG